AUACGGAGGAUGCGAGCGUUAUCCGGAUUUAUUGGGUUUAAAGGGUGCGUAGGCGGACGAUUAAGUCAGCUGUGAAAUGCCCGCGCUUAACGCGGGAAGUGCAGUUGAUACUGGUUGUCUGGAGUGCCGUUGCCGUGGGGGGAAUGUGUAGUGUAGCGGUGAAAUGCAUAGAUAUUACACAGAACGCCGAUUGUGAAGACACCUCACGAAGCGGUAACUGACGCUGAGGCACGAAAGCGUGGGGAUCGAACAGGAUUAGAUACCCUGGUAGUCCACGCAGUAAACGAUGAUCACUAGCUGUUUGCGAUACACUGUAAGCGGCACAGCGAAAGCGUUAAGUGAUCCACCUGGGGAGUACGCCGGCAACGGUGAAACUCAAAUGAAUUGGCGGGG
rnacentral:rRNA from 1 species